UACGUAGGGUGCAAGCGUUAAUCGGAAUUACUGGGCGUAAAGCGUGCGCAGGCGGUUUUGUAAGUCUGACGUGAAAUCCCCGGGCUCAACCUGGGAAUUGCGUUGGAGACUGCAAGGCUGGAGUCUGGCAGAGGGGGGUAGAAUUCCACGUGUAGCAGUGAAAUGCGUAGAGAUGUGGAGGAACACCGAUGGCGAAGGCAGCCCCCUGGGCCAGCACUGACGCUCAUGCACGAAAGCGUGGGGAGCAAACAGG
rnacentral:rRNA from 1 species